rfam:Triticum aestivum genome assembly, contig: Triticum_aestivum_CS42_TGACv1_scaffold_592092_7BS
UAUAUACUCCCUCCAUUCAGAAUUAUUUGUCUUGAAAAUGGAUGUAUCUAGAACUAAAAUACGUAUAGAUACACUCAUUUUCGCGACAAGUAAUUCCGAACGGAGGGAGUAUAUG